UUACUGGACUGCUUGCACCUGGAGUUUGAUUUUUCUAUUUCGGUUCUUUAGAUGUUUUGAAUGCUAAAAUAAAGGAGCUCCUGGAGUUUUCUUUGCCUAGAACUAGAUGGGUUCUCUAGAUGUUUUGAAUGCUGAAAUAAAAAUGUGGAAACAUCAAACAUGAACUAUCGGCGAGCAGGUUGUCAUAUAGGGUUGAUAUGGCGUCUGUUAUUGUGGAAAGUAGUAUUUCUGUUAGCAUGCUUCCAUUAAGUGUCCGACAUGCCAUUUUCCUUGUUUGUCUCUGUUCUUUUGCUACAUUGGCUUAAUGUUAUUCGUGUGUUUUCUUCCAUAUUUUGUUUCCUGUGGCAUUAUUCGUUAUUUGGUUGGUUGAAGAUAUAGAGCAUGCACUCAUCAUAUCUAAGUGAUCGGAGUGAUAUUGAUUGGCUUAUUAGAUGGAUAUUGGCCCAGUUUAUCUUUCAUUUUUUCUAUAGCUGUUAGAAAUUUACUUUGCUCAUAGUUCAUACUAUAAUUAAUAUGAGACUCUUGUUUUGUGGUCCAAGUGUUCAGGGCUCAGGGUGCCUUGGAAAUUUAUAUGAGCAGCAACUUAAUGAUUGCACCAGCUGAAGUUGGUGCAUAAGGCUGCAACACCAUCUAGUGGAGUGGUGUUCUGGACAAAGAAAGCUUGUACCUUAAAACAGGAGGAUACAAGAAGCUGGAGUGGUUGUCUGAAGGCUUUUGAACUGCUUGAAGCAUUAGUGUAGCUUUGGUGCUUUUAUGACUAAUCAGCUCUGGAGCAGCUAGAGUGAUAUAGUUGUGGGCUUUUGAACAAUAGUUGGAGUGAUAUAAAACAUUAGUGAUCUAGUUGUGAAUGAUAUUAUUAUUGUGAUGCUUUUGUGAAUAUAUAAUUGUGGUGCUUUUGUGUUUA